GCGGCAUGCUUUACACAUGCAAGUCGAACGGUAACAGGGAGCUUGCUCCGCUGACGAGUGGCGAACGGGUGAGUAAUGCGUCGGAACGUGCCGAGUAGUGGGGGAUAACGCAGCGAAAGUUGUGCUAAUACCGCAUACGUACUGAGGUAGAAAGUGGGGGACCUUCGGGCCUCACGCUAUCGGAUGCGCCUACGUGGGAUUAGCUAGUUGGUGGGGUAAUGGCUCACCAAGGCGACGAUCCCUAGCUGGUUUGAGAGGAUGAUCAGCCACACUGGAACUGAGACACGGUCCAGACUCCUACGGGAGGCAGCAGCGGGGAAUAUUGGACAAUGGGCGCAAGCCUGAUCCAGCCAUGCCGCGUGUGUGAAGAAGGCCUUCGGGUUGUAAAGCACUUUCAGUAGGGAGGAAGGGUGUUGUGUUAAUAGCACAGCAUUUUGACGUUACCUACAGAAGAAGCACCGGCUAACUCUGUGCCAGCCGCCGCAGUAACAC
rnacentral:rRNA from 1 species